AUCUCAUGAUGUGGGCAUUGAUAUAAAAGAUUUAAGAAUAUGUCCCAUGCUUGGCAUAAUGUUUUCCCUUCCUUCUAUUCGAAAUACAGUAUUUGAUUCCUGAGUU